ACUCUGGUCCGACUCUGUGAAGAGUCAUGAGAGGUGUAGCAUAAGUGGGAGGCCUUGGCCGACAGUGAAAUACCAUUACUUCCAUCGAUUCUUUACUUAUUCGGUAAGACGAGAACUGAGCCUAUCCGGCUCUUCAUUCUGGUGUUAAGUGCAUCCACUCGGUGGCCGCUCGACUCGCGCCGAAGACAGUGUCAUGCGGGAAGU
rnacentral:ncRNA from 1 species